rnacentral:rRNA from 1 species
UACGAAGGUGGCAAGCGUUGUUCGGAUUUACUGGGCGUACCGGGAGCGUAGGCGGUUGGAUAAGCCCUCCGUGAAAUCUCCAGGCUUAACCUGGAAAGUGCAGAGGGGACUGUUCAGCUAGAGGAUGGGAGAGGAGCGCGGAAUUCCCGGUGUAGCGGUGAAAUGCGUAGAGAUCGGGAGGAAGGCCGGUGGCGAAGGCGGCGCUCUGGAACAUUUCUGACGCUGAGGCUCGAAAGCGUGGGGAGCAAACAGG